UCUGUGAUAAGAGAAUCACGACAAUUUGAGUAUAAAUACUCAGGAGUUUUCCUCAAUUGACAUAGUCAGUUUGAGAAGUCAACUGAAGCAAUCCAAAUCAAUCCAAAAUGAUGAAGUUCCUGUUCUUCGCCCUCCUCGUCGUCCUGGCCGUUGCCACCGCCUUCGCUGCUCCUGAGCCAGCUCCAGGUCCAGCUCCAUUCCCUGCUCCUCUGCCAGCUCCCCAGGGUGGAUAUUACCCCUAUGGAUACUAUGGAUACUACUAAACCUGGAGCCAAGGACGCGACGUUAAGACGAACUAUUUGACCACUCUUAAAUGAAAACUUUCAAAAUUGUUUAAAUCUCAGAAAAUGAAUAAAUAUGUACAUUGAAGAAUGAA